UACGUAGGGUGCGAGCGUUGUCCGGAAUUAUUGGGCGUAAAGAGCUUGUAGGUGGUUUAUCGCGUCUGCUGUGAAAAUCCGAGGCUCAACCUCGGACUUGCAGUGGGUACGGGCAGACUAGAGUGUGGUAGGGGAGACUGGAAUUCCUGGUGUAGUCGGUGAAAUGCGCAGAUAUCAGGAGGAACACCGGCGGCGAAGGCGGGUCUCUGGGCCAUAACUGACGCUGGAGGAGCGAAAGCGUGGGGAGCGAACAGG
rnacentral:rRNA from 1 species